rnacentral:misc_RNA from 1 species
AUAUUUUGAAUUAAGUAUAUUCAUAAUAUGUUAUCAGACGAAUGUUGUUAAAGAUAUAGGUUGAUAUUUGUGAAGGGAAAGAGUUGCCUCUCUCCCAACAAACAUUGCACACAAGGUGAAUACUGAUUUUUAAAAAGUGCAGUAAAACACUUAUUAUGAAUGAUCCUUCCGCAGGUUCACCUACGGAAA